AUGCCAUGGUGUGGACAUUUCCUCAACAAUUCUUUAAAUUACUCUUAAGCUUCAUAUAAAGAUUCUCCAUCAUUCGAGAAAAAAUUAUUAAUUUCUCUCUUAAGUUU